GAGAGGCCUCAAAGGAAAGGUAAAGAAAGGAAAGGCAAGGAAAGGAACGGAACGAGAAAGGCUUCAGGUGCGGAAGAUUCUGGUGAGCUAAAGAGGAAAGUGCAGUUGCCAGUUUUUCUGGCGUGCUGGCGGUGAGCCGGUGACGGCGGCGCCGAGCAGAUGGAGGAGGACUCCUUGCCGUCAGUGCGCAGGCCGCCGAAGGUUUUGAAGCUUGGCGAAGAAGAUGAACGAAAAAUGCAGCCCCGUCAGAAACGCCACAUGGACUUUCCCACCACCACCACCGCCACAACCUCAAAAACCAAUUCCUCGUCGCCCUUCAAGCUUCCCGAUGGCUGGGUCGUCAUAAAGAAGCCCCGUCCGUACGCCCAGGGCCACCGCUCCGAUAAGUUUUACCAUGAAUCAGCAACUGGUCGGAAGUUUCGUUCCCUGAAAGCUGUUGAGAAAUAUCUAACCGAAGCAAAAGAGAAUACACAUCUGUCAAAACCUUUGAAAUCAGAGAAUCAUUUUGAGUCACAGAAGUCUGCUUUUGACUUUGUCAAUCCACCAAAGAAAAUCAAUUGGGUUCUUACUAGUCCCCAAAGAGAUUCGUGGAGUCCUUUCAUGGGCAGAUCGAUGGUUUCAGAAUCUGAAAAGCAGCUAUGGGGCGAAACAUAUAUAUUAUCAAUCCAUGACUGAAAUAUCAAUGCACCAAAUUGAGGAUGUGAAUCCCUUGACCACCCUUUAGGAUGAAACGAAUUGCUUUGGUUUUCAUGGAAUUUGUUAUAUUGUGUGCUCUCUCUAGGAAUGAUGACCAUAUCAAGAAGGCUUUGAACCUUUUGUAAUCAUCAUCUUGGUGAAGAAACUUUCGAUUUUUUUUUUCUUUUCCAGAGCUUGUUUCUCUGUUUUUGUUUAGCGGGUGGACAUACUGGGUUAUUGAGAACGCUCCCGAAACUGUUGGUUUUGCAGUAGACAGUGAGUAGCAGCAUGAGAGGAGUUCAGAGAAGUGCAAGGUGGUAGGAAUUGGCUUCAUUGGUCUUUGAACCAAAUCUGUAAAACGGAAUUCUGGUGUGGAACCGUCGGCAGCAGCAUCUCCCCAUGCAGCCUAUGUUGACAUUGAAGAAUGACGGCCACCUGCUCUGCAAGCUUUGCUGAAACAGCGGCCACCUUCUUUGAAUUUUGCUCCCCCCCUCCUGUAUAUAUAUAUAUGUGGGUUGUAGUGAGGCAUAUGUGCAAUGUGUGUAGUGUGCUGAGAGUGCAGAGAGAAAGGCAGUGAAGUGUGUUGCAGAGAGAGCUGUAUGUGUAGUGUGCAGAGAAGUGCAGAGAGCAAAGAGUUGUGGUGAGAGAGUAGAGUUGAGCAGUGUGGCUCCUCCUCCUUGUAAUAUUUCUCCCAGUUUAUAGUGCAGUGGUGUGUGCUCCUGUGGACGUAGGUCAGUUUGGACCGAACCACGUAAA